rnacentral:rRNA from 1 species
UACGGAGGGUGCAAGCGUUGCUCGGAAUCAUUGGGCGUAAAGCGCGUGUAGGCGGUUAACUAAGUCUGGUGUGAAAGCCCGAGGCUUAACUUCGGAAGUGCACUGGAUACUAGCUAGCUAGAGGACGAGAGAGGAAAGUGGAAUUCCUGGUGUAGGGGUGAAAUCCGUAGAUAUCAGGAGGAACACCAGUGGCGAAGGCGGCUUUCUGGCUCGUUUCUGACGCUGAGACGCGAAAGCGUGGGGAGCAAACAGG